rnacentral:sRNA from 1 species
UUGGCUGUCGUCAGCUCGUGUCGUGAGAUGUUGGGUUAAGUCCCGCAACGAGCGCAACCCUCACUUUUAGUUGCCAUCAUUAAGUUGGGAACUCUAAAAGAACUGCCAGUGAUAAGCUGGAGGAAGGUGGGGAUGACGUCAAGUCCUCAUGGCCCUUACGUGUUGGGCUACACACGUGCUACAAUGGCACUUACAAUAGGAAGCAAAGAGGCAACUCUAAGCGAAGCCUAAAAAUGUGCCUCAGUUCGGAUUGCACUCUGCAACUCGAGUGCAUGAAGCUGGAAUUACUAGUAAUCGCGGAUCAGCGCGCCGCGGUGAAUACGUUCCCGGGUCUUGUACACACCGCCCGUCACACCAUGGAAGUUGGUUUCACCUUAAGGCAAAUUGUUAACCUUCGGGAUACAUUUGACUACGGUAUGAUCAACAACUGGGGUGAAGUCGUAACAAGGUAGCCGUAGGGGAACSUGCGGCUGGAUCACCUCCUUUCUAAGGAAAUCGAAAUCGUUUAUUUCGAUUUAAAAUAAUCGGUAAUGUUGACCGUCCUCAUUUCUCUUCUUUUAAUGUCUCUGUAGAUGCAUAGGGGCCGGUAGCUCAGGUGGUUAGAGCGCACCCCUGAUAAGGGUGAGGUCGGACGUUCGAAUCGUCCUCGGCCCACCAUUUUAUACAAGGGGGAUUAGCUCAGCUGGGAGAGCGCCUGAUUUGCAUUCAGGAGGUCAGCAGUUCGAUCCUGCUUAGCUCCACCAUUUUCUCUGAUGAAAACUUAAAUAAGAUUUAUUGUUAAGUUUUAUUUAAGUUUUUAUACCUAGCCUUGGCUAGGAGCUCUUUAACAAUUUGGAUAUGAAGUAAAGUUUGUUAAAUACAAUACAACGUAUAAGUAGAUAUAAAUAUGUUAUCGAAGGUGUAUUGCAUUGACACAACAAUUUCAAAAAAUAUGGAUUCUCGAUGAUAGAUUAAUCUUUAUCAUUGAAAAUAGAAAUCACCGAUUAGAUCGAAAGAUUUAGUUAGUGACUUCACAAGGUGAAAUACGAAACCAGAUAACCUAGAUAUUUUGGGGUUAUAUGGUCAAGUGAAUAAGUGCAUACGAUGGAUGCCUUGGCAGUAGAAGGCGAUGAAGGACGUGAUAAUCUGCGAUAAGCUUCGGUUAGCUGAUAAAUGAGCUUUAACCCGGAGAUCUCCGAAUGGGGAAACCCGG